rnacentral:rRNA from 1 species
UUUAAAGAGAGUUUGAUCCUGGCUCAGGACGAACGCUGGCGGCGUGCCUAAUACAUGCAAGUCGAACGAACGGAGGAAGAGCUUGCUCUUCCAAAGUUAGUGGCGGACGGGUGAGUAACACGUGGGCAACCUGCCUGUAAGUUGGGGAUAACUCCGGGAAACCGGGGCUAAUACCGAAUGAUAAAGUGUGGCGCAUGCCACGCUUUUGAAAGAUGGUUUCGGCUAUCGCUUACAGAUGGGCCCGCGGUGCAUUAGCUAGUUGGUAGGGUAAUGGCCUACCAAGGCAACGAUGCAUAGCCGACCUGAGAGGGUGAUC